CCUACGGGAGGCAGCAGUGGGGAAUAUUGCACAAUGGGGGAAACCCUGAUGCAGCGACGCCGCGUGAGUGAAGAAGGAUUUCGGGAUGUAAAGCUCUAUCAGCAGGGAAGAGAAUGACGGUACCUGACUAAGAAGCCCCGGCUAACUACGUGCCAGCAGCCGCGGUAAUACGUAGGGGGCAAGCGUUAUCCGGAUGGACUGGGGGUAAAGGGAGCGUAGGCGGCAGGGCAAGUCUGGAGGGAAAUGCCGGGGCCCAACCCCGGAAGUGCCUCGGAAACUGUGAAGCUGGAGUGCAGGAGAGGUAAGCGGAAUUUCUGGUGUAGCGGUGAAAUGCGUAGAUAUCAGGAGGAACACCGGCGGCGAAGGCGGCUUACUGGACUGUAACUGACGUUGAGGCUCGAAAGCGUGGGGAGCAAACAGGAUUAGAUACCCUAGUAGUC
rnacentral:rRNA from 1 species